CCGGCAAGGCUGUACGACCAGAUCCUUCUGAACCCCGCCAGGACCGAAAGGUAGCAACGGUAAGAAGUUGAUCGGUGUGAUACGGUUCUUGCCUUUUU
rnacentral:SRP_RNA from 1 species